rfam:Culex pipiens quinquefasciatus supercont3.498 genomic scaffold, whole genome shotgun sequence.
UAAUUGGCCCUUUUUAGGGCCACCAAAUAUCUGACGAAAGGGUUUUU